rnacentral:rRNA from 1 species
CCUACGGGAGGCAUCAGUGAGGAAUAUUGGUCAAUGGGCGCGAGCCUGAACCAGCCAAGUAGCGUGAAGGAUGACUGCCCUACGGGUUGUAAACUUCUUUUAUAAAGGCAUACAGUGAGGCACGUGUGUCUUUUUGUAUGUACUUUAUGAAUAAGGAUCGGCUAACUCCGUGCCAGCAGCCGCGGUAAUAUGGAGGAGCCGAGCGUUAUCCGGAUUUAUUGGGUUUAAAGGGAGCGUAGAUGGGUUGUUAAGUCAGUUGUGAAAGUUCGCGGCUCAACCGUAAAAUGGCGAUUGAUACUGGCAGCCUUGAGUACAGUUGAGGAAGGCGGAAUUCGUGGUGUAGCGGUGAAAUGCUUAGAUAUCACGAAGAACUCCGAUUGCGAAGGCAGCUUACUAAACUGCCACUGACAUUGAUGCUCGAAAGUGUGGGUAUCAAACAGGAUUAGAUACCCCUGUAGUC